rnacentral:lncRNA from 1 species
CUACUUCCUGCCUCCCCAGCAGCAUCAAAGAGAAAUAACUCCUCUAGAAUUACAAGCUGAGUUCUGCUUGGGACUGAGACUCCUUUCACCAGCAGUUCUGCUUGUCCGGGUACGUAAGCUGGCACUCUCAUCCCUGAGAGCUAUGAACCCCUACAGCAGCAGUCACAUGACGGAUGCAUGUAUCCUUUUGCACUCAAAAAAUCAGGCGUUGGGUACAAAAACUACACCAUGUAGCCACAUUCUUUAUGUCUUCAAGGAGACACUUCUGCAGUUGUCCUCAAGGCUCAGCAUUUCCCUGGCUGUGUCAUGUGGUAACUGCAGUCUAGAUGUUGGUCUAAUUGCCAGAAAAGAAGAUACAGAUAGAUCCUCAGCAAGCAGAGGCUUUCAGCAUCUUCAGUGACGAGUAAGAGGCAUACAAGAGGAAAUUUAAAGAGGAUGACAGAGCACAAUUU